UACAGAGGGGGCAAGCGUUAUUCGGAAUUAUUGGGCGUAAAGGGCGCGUAGGCGGCCUGGCAAGUGGGAGGUGAAAUCCCUCGGCUUAACCGAGGAACUGCCUUCCAAACUGCUUGGCUUGAGUCCGGGAGAGGUGAGUGGAAUUCCCAGUGUAGCGGUGAAAUGCGUAGAUAUUGGGAGGAACACCAGUGGCGAAGGCGGCUCACUGGACCGGAACUGACGCUGAUGCGCGAAAGCGUGGGGAGCAAACGGG
rnacentral:rRNA from 1 species